AUGGGGAUCAAGCACAAAAAUGUGGUGCGGUUUGUUGGUUACUGUGCAAAAUCAAGUUGGGAAGCCAUAGACCUGCGAGGAAGUGGGAAUUAUAUUUUUGCUGAAACACGAGAAAGAUUACUCUGCUUUGAGCACAUAUGUAACAAAAGCCUUGACAAGUAUAUCUCCGAUGAAUCUUCGGGCCUCGAGUGGAACACGCGAUAUGAAAUAGUUAGGGGAAUUUGUGCUGGUUUGCAUUACCUUCACGAGAAAUGCCAUAUUGUUCAUCUGGAUCUGAAACCUGAAAAUAUAUUGAUGGAUGCUACUAUGGUACCAAAAAUUGCCGAUUUUGGUCUGUCAAGGAUCUUUGGUGACAAGCAAUCCCGAAUCAUCACUGUGAAUCGUCCAGGAACACAUGGAUAUAUGGCACCAGAAUACAUACUCCAAGGUGUAGUCUCCAUCAAGGCAGAUAUAUACAGUUUGGGUGUAAUAAUUAUCGAGAUGCUCACUGGUUCUAGAAACUAUCCCCUGAGUGCAUUUCCAGAUCUCCAACACUUCAGCAGGGACAAUAGUUCCCAAAGUACCAGCGCACCUUUCCAGUGCUUCAAAGAGAAAAUACUUGAAACUUGGAGGACAAGGCUGCCGAAAUCACGGGAAGACAGGAUGUUGGAACAAGUACGUGUAUGCAUCGAGUUAGGGAUACAAUGCGUUGAACCUAACCCAGGUAAUAGACCAGCUACGAAGUAUAUGAUCGAUAGGCUUGAUGAAGUGAGUAUUAUCGAUGUAUCCAUCAAAACUAGUGUGAGCAGGAUUUCAGCAGUAGUGCAGGCAGGUGAAGCUUCGGAUGCUCCACAGGAAGGAGAUAAGAGGUCCGAGAUGAGUCCCCGCCGAGAGGAGGCCUAUGAUGGACAUCAUGCAGAAUUGACAGAUACUUAUGAAAAUAUGGGACCAGAAAAGACCAAAUCUGAGAUCAAAGUAUUGUUUCAUAGUAUUCCAGAUGAAGCUAAUAAACAUAAUGUCCUGGAGAGCAUGCUGCAUAAUGGAAGUGUUGAGCCUACAUGUCUUGAGUUAUCACUCUUAGCAGAGAUCACCAAUAAAUUCUCUGAAGACCAUGAGAUUUCUAGAAGUCGGUUAGGAGUGGUUUACAAGGGAAAUCUUUCAAAUGGGGGUACUGUUGUUGUGAAGAGGCUCAGAAUUGCACCUGAAAUUGGUGACUUACUAUUUCUUGACGCAGCUAAUUCCCUGACUAGUGUUAAGCACAAGAACAUAGCACGGUUUCUAGGUUAUUGUGCUGACAUACAAUGGAAGGUGAUAAGGGAAGGCGACAAAAUCAUUGCUAUUAUGAAGCGAGAGAGAUUGCUCUGCUUCGAAUAUCUACGUAACGGAAAUCUUCAGAUGCAUCUUACUGAUGGAUCUGGUGGAUUUGACUGGCACACAUGCUAUCAAACAAUUAAAGGAAUUUGUCAAGGCUUGGAUUAUCUUCACAAAAAUUGUAUUUCUCAUAUGGAUCUCAAACCAGAAAAUGUACUGUUUGAUGAGAAAAUGGUGCCCAAAAUAUUGGAGUAUGGUUUUUCAAGAGUCUUUAGUGAAGAGAUAGGACGAACUAUCCUUAAAGACAUCGAUGGAGCGCUGGCAUACAUGACAACGCCGGAAUAUUUGGCUGGUGGAGAAAUCACACUUAAAUCUGACAUAUACUGUUUAGGAGUUAUAAUCAUGCAGAUAGUAACUGGACAAAACAAUGAGAACUACUCAAACAUAGCGAGUAUAGUUGAAAGUUGGAGGAGUAAGUUGGAACUGGACGCAACUAAGGGGUACACAUUCGAAGCAUCUUACCGGCAAAUAAAAGUAUGCAUUGAUAUAGGGGUAAGAUGCAUGGACCAUGACCCGAGGAACAGACCCAUUACACGUGAUAUCAUUGAUUGGCUUGAUAAAGAGGAAACAGAACUGCCAGUCAAAAGUGACGUAUGUGAUUCAUCCUCAGAGCAGAUGAUUUUUACUUCCAAAGCAACAUUGCAACCAUCAGGAGAGGAAUUACAAGCGUCACCAGUGCCAAAUGCACCAAUGGUGCUACAACCGACGGGCGUUAGGAUAGUGCUUAAGGUGCCGAUGAACUACAGUAACAGCAAAUCACUCAUCUUGCGAGCUAUGUCAAAGGUCAAAGGGAUCCAGUCAUUGACAUUCGACAGCAGCGAGAGCACGCUGACGGUGGUGGGAAACGUGGACGUGGUGGUGGUCGUGACGGCGCUGCGCAAGAUGAAGUACCUCGCGCAGAUAAUUAUGGUGGAUGCCACAGAGAAGGUGGACAUCCCCGUCCACGACCAAGAGCCUGACUCCCGCACUAGGAGUCUGUGGAACCUCAUCUCACGUGGAAAGCAGAAGUUCCUCCAGAAAUAG
rnacentral:rRNA from 1 species